AUUGAACGCUGGCGGCAGGCUUAACACAUGCAAGUCGAGCGAGCGGCGGACGGGUGAGUAAUGUCUGGGACACUGCCUGAUGGAGGGGGAUAACUACUGGAAACGGUAGCUAAUACCGCAUACCAUCAGAUGUGCCCAGAUGGGAUUAGCUAGUAGGUGGGGUAAUGGCUCACCUAGGCGACGAUCCCUAGCUGGUCUGAGAGGAUGACCAGCCACCCUGGAACUGAGACACGGUCCAGAUCCGUAGGGGUGGAGGAAGUGGGGAUUAUUGCACAAUGAGCGCAAGCCUGAUGCAGCCAUGCCGCGUGUGUGAAGAAGGCCUUCGGGUUGUAAAGCACUUUGAGCGAGGAGGCGUUACUCGCAGAAGAAGCACCGGCUAACUCCGUGCCAGCAGCCGCGGUAAUUC
rnacentral:rRNA from 1 species